rnacentral:rRNA from 1 species
UACAGAGGGGGCAAGCGUUGCUCGGAAUCACUGGGCGUAAAGGGUGCGUAGGCGGGUUUUUAAGUCAGAGGUGAAAUCCUGGAGCUCAACUCCAGAACUGCCUUUGAUACUGAAAGUCUUGAGUAUGGGAGAGGUGAGUGGAACUGCGAGUGUAGAGGUGAAAUUCGUAGAUAUUCGCAAGAACACCAGUGGCGAAGGCGGCUCACUGGCCCAUAACUGACGCUGAGGCACGAAAGCGUGGGGAGCAAACAGG